rnacentral:lncRNA from 1 species
CAGAGGGAGGGUCGUGCAGCCCUUGGGUCAGGCCAGCGCCACCCAACAAUGGGUGGGCUCACCUUGCCAGCCGUCUCCAGGGUGACUGCUGGUUCUCUGUGCUUUCCCCAGUUUUGGCCUGAGCGGCUGUUGGUCCUGCCUCGCUCCACCAGGGCGGGGGGGGAGGCCUGGGCCAGGCCGCAGCCCAGGAGGUAUCUGAGUUUUGGCUUCCAGGCCAAGUGUGCCCAGAUGCCAAAAGCUUGGUGA